rnacentral:rRNA from 1 species
AUUGAACGCUGGCGGCAGGCCUAACACAUGCAAGUCGAACGGUAACAGGAAGAAGCUUGCUUCUUUGCUGACGAGUGGCGGACGGGUGAGUAAUGUCCGGGAAACUGCCUGAUGGAGGGGGAUAACUACUGGAAACGGUAGCUAAUACCGCAUAACGUCGCAAGACCAAAGAGGGGGACCUUCGGGCCUCUCGCCAUCGGAUGUGCCCAGAUGGGAUUAGCUAGUAGGUGGGGUAACGGCUCACCUAGGCGCCGAUCCCUAGCUGGUCUGAGAGGAUGACCAGCCACACUGGAACUGAGACACGGUCCAGACUCCUACGGGAGGCAGCAGUAGGGAAUAUUGCACAAUAGGCGCAAGCCUGAUGCAGCCAUGCCACGUGUAUGAAGAAGGCCUUCGGGUUGUAAAGUACUUUCAGCGGGGAGAAAGAGAGUAAAGUUAAUACCUUUGCUCAUUGACGUUACCCGCAGAAGAAGCACCGGCUAACUCCGUG